UACGGGAGGCAGCAGUGGGGAAUAUUGGACAAUGGGCGAAAGCCUGAUCCAGCCAUGCCGCGUGUGUGAAGAAGGUCUUCGGAUUGUAAAGCACUUUAAGUUGGGAGGAAGGGCAGUAAAUUAAUACUUUGCUGUUUUGACGUUACCGACAGAAUAAGCACCGGCUAACUCUGUGCCAGCAGCCGCGGUAA
rnacentral:rRNA from 1 species